AAUGUCUUUAAAAUUAGUCCCGUGAGGCUAGCAAGGCAAUCAACUAAGUUGUUUUAAACUUUUAUGAAUGCUCCUAGUUUCAUGUAGACUUGGGAGCAUUUUUUGU
rfam:Lactobacillus sp. ASF360 genomic scaffold acMPL-supercont1.5, whole genome shotgun sequence.